UGUGUGCUCAGGGCAAAGCUGCAGAGGGAACGCUGUACAUUGAUGACGGUGCUACCUUCGAUUACAAGAAGGGAGACCUGCUGUACCUGAAGUUCAAGUUUGCAGACAAUACGUUGACGUCCGAGAUCCUGGAGGGCCCAGGGAACUUCAAGACAAAAGCCUGGGUGGAGCGCGUGGUCAUAGCUGGCUAUCCUACGCGGCCUUCUGAUGUCCAGCUUACUACAAGCAAAGGAACUCAGAGUCUUCAGUUUACUUACGAAGAGAAGGAGCAGCUUCUAAGGGUGCGCAAGCCAGGAGUGAACGUCGCCGAGAAAUGGACGCUCAAGAUUCUUUCAUAGCCUUCGAAGCCACCAUGUGUUGUGUGCAGUGGAAGCGCUGUCCACAUUUCCCAUUGACGAAACGCUUCGUUUCUCAAAUGGAAGUUUUCUUUUUCUUCUCUCCCCGUGGACAUGCUUGCCCCCACAUUUUCCUUUUUAAAAGAUCAACAUUUCAGCAUUAUGUGCCACCAUUCCUCUUUACGCGUAUUUUAAGAAAGGGUAAACCAAUUUGGGUAAUGGGGACACUUGUCUACACACUCACACACACUGGCCCCAUUGUAAAUAACCACAGAUGUGACAUGAAAGUUUUACCUGGCUUAUAGUGUCUCGGUGACGAAAACGGAGUGAAUGAUAUAUAUAUAUAUAUAUAUGUAUACUGGUAUUGCGAAUGGCUUUUUACAGCACUGCACUGUGUAUCGAGGCCAGAUUUCGGUGGCUGUUUUCUUUUUCUUUUUUUUUUCUAUUUUCUAGGCCGUUUUUCUAGACUUGAGUUCCAGUUUUUGCCUUUACGCUGUGCGUCUUGAAACUUAGUUUUUAAAAGUUCAAUAAACACAAUGUUUUUU